rnacentral:tRNA from 1 species
CGGGGCGUAGCUUAGCCUGGUGAAAGCGCCAGUCUGGGGGACUGGAGAGCGCGGGUUCGAAUCCCGCCGCCCCGA